AUUGAACGCUGGCGGCAGGCCUAACACAUGCAAGUCGAGCGGUAGAGAGGUGUUUGCAUCUCUUGAGAGCGGCGGACGGGUGAGUAAUGCCUAGGAAUCUGCCUAGUGGUGGGGGAUAACGUUCGGAAACGGACGCUAAUACCGCAUACGUCCUACGGGAGAAAGCGGGGGAUGUUCGGACCCCCAGCCAUUAGAUGGGCCAAGGUCGGAUUAGCUAGUUGGUGAGGUAAUGGCUCACCAAGGCGACGAUCCGUAACUGGUCUGAGAGGAUGAUCAGUCACACUGGAACUGAGACACGGUCCAGACUCCUACGGGAGGCAGCAGUGGGGAAUAUUGGACAAUGGGCGAAAGCCUGAUCCAGCCAUGCCGCGUGUGUGAAGAAGGUCUUCGGAUUGUAAAGCACUUUAAGUUGGGAGGAAGGGUCGUAACCUAAUACGUUGCGGCUUUGACGUUACCGACAGAAUAAGCACCGGCUAACUUCGUGCCAGCCGCCGCCGUAAUAC
rnacentral:rRNA from 1 species